ACUAGGGGGAUCAGGAGUGUUAGAGGGCUUUCCCUUCACCGUCCCACUUCCCUGGUUUUUGUCAGGCAGACAGCAAGCAGCAAAAGACCAGAAGUCCAAAGUGCAGACAGUGCAAUGUUUAUUGGGGUUA